AUACUGAAAUGCAUGGUGGGAAAUAAGUGCAUAAUUAGCUUGCUGUACCUGCAACCGUGAAGUCGGAGCGCCACCCAGUAUAGACCCCUGUUGAAUUAAGGCCAGGAAAAGUCUACUUCUACAAACGUGCA
rnacentral:ncRNA from 10 species